rnacentral:tRNA from 1 species
GCAGGUUUAGUUCAGUGGCAGAACUACGGCUUCCAAACCCGUUAACGGUGGUUCGAUUCCAUCAGCCUGUG